AAAAGCUGCUUCGUUUAAUCACCAUGACUCUUGGGAUCUCGCAACCUCCGACUAACACCUUUGUAACGUAAUCAAUUUAAGGCUAGCAGCUGCAUUUAUCCAGGUAUUAACUUUCUUACCACUCCUCCCACUCUUUCGCAUAAACUCGGCCUCAUCAUCCACCGCGGAACCCAAAGGCUCUGGCUAUAUAUGUGUUCCUCCCCUGCGUUACACAGCCUCUCACUGCAACGAAAUCCCAAAGGUCAAUCACUAUUAAGUAGCGACUCCACCAGUGGCGAAUUGCUCCUCUUGGAUGAGAAGUCAAUGCUUAUCCAACCAUCUCCACACUUUCCGAGACCAUCUGAGUGAGGGUUCUGUUUACUCUCUAAAUAGCUUCGACUUCACCCGGAGCAAUAACUAUUUUCGUCUGUCUGAUGCCCAUGUCUCUAUUCGCUUCAAUGAUGGUGGAUUGAUUUCGAUUGUAAAAUCU